UGCCAGCAGCCGCGGUAAUACGGAGGGGGCAAGCGUUGUUCGGAAUUACUGGGCGUAAAGCGCACGUAGGCGGAUUGGUCAGUUAGGGGUGAAAUCCCGGGGCUCAACCCCGGAACUGCCUCUAAUACUGCUAGUCUUGAGUUCGAGAGAGGUGAGUGGAAUUCCGAGUGUAGAGGUGAAAUUCGUAGAUAUUCGGAGGAACAUCAGUGGCGAAGGCGGCUCACUGGCUCGAUACCGACGCUGAGGUGCGAAAGCGUGGGGAGCAAACAGGAUUAGAUA
rnacentral:rRNA from 1 species